rnacentral:rRNA from 1 species
GACGAACGCUGGCGGCGUGCCUAAUACAUGCAAGUUGAGCGAUGAAGCUUGGUGCUUGCACCAAUUUGAAGAGCAGCGAACGGGUGAGUAACGCGUGGGGAAUCUGCCUUUGAGCGGGGGACAACAUUUGGAAACGAAUGCUAAUACCGCAUAACAACUUUAAACAUAAGUUUUAAGUUUGAAAGAUGCAAUUGCAUCACUCAAAGAUGAUCCCGCGUUGUGUUAGCUAGGUUGUUAGGUAAAGGGUGACCAAGGGGAAGAUAAAUAGCCGACCGGAGAGGGGGAUCGGCCACACUGGGAAUGGGACAAGGCCCAAACCCCUAAGGGAGGGAGCAGGAGGGAAUCUUCGGCAAAGGACGAAAGUCUGACCGGGGAACGGCGGGGGGGGGAAGAAGGUUUUCGGAACGUAAAAAUCUUUUGAUAGGGAAAGACGUUGGGGGGAAGUGAAAGCUCACGAAGUGACGGUAACUACUCAGAAAGCGACGGCUAACUACGUG